rnacentral:lncRNA from 1 species
AUGCACUCCUAACAACCAACUCGUUACGAAAAUGUAUAUACGAUCAAAUAAGCCAGAAUUUUGGGCCCAGUUAUCCCUCUUGCUUCUCAUCUUCCGCGCUGUUUGAUAGGAAAUGACUGGUAUAAGAAAUAUGGUGGAAACUAGCCCAUGCCCUCCAAUCCAAUGCUCUUAGAUUUGUGGGUUGUAGUGAACGACUGAACAUUUCAGGACAAAGCUAGCCCGUCCCCCUCCACCCUCCAGGAGUCACCAGGUCCACCGCCUCUCCAUACUUUACUGCUGGUUCUGGUCGACUGCAGGAAGGGGACAUCCCUAAUCAUUGCUCUCUUAGUGGGAGGGGCGUAUCAUCUGGGGAGCCUCCACAACAUCAUGAUUCUGAUAAGAAAGAGAAGAGUCUCUCCAGAUCAGAACACCUCAAGAAACACCAGCAUAGAGGUAUAGGGAAGAAACCUCACCACUGCUGCUCUGACUGUGAGAAGAGUUUUGCUAAACAAGACUUAACUAUUCAUGAGCAAAUUCACACUGGAUAGAACCCGUACCAUUGCUCUCAGCGUGGGAAGAGUUUUGCUGCAUCUAAAACCUUAAAAUUUCAUCAGAGAAUUCAU